CUCAAAUCCAAGGAAGUAUUUAAGCUUUCCCAAAUCAGUCAUCUCAAAGUGUGUACAUUGAUGCAUCACAGUCGCUUCUCUUGCAUCCUUGUGACAUGAAGUAUGAGUCAAUCUUGUUGUACCAAGCCCUUGGAGCCUGCUUUAGACCAUACAAAGCCUUCUUCAAUUUGUAAACCAUAUUCUCUGCUCCCUCUAUCUCAAAGCCAGCAAGUGCUAUUAGGGCUUUAAUUGUAUCAUGUCUAGAUACAGGGGCAAACGUUUCUCCAUAGGU